UACCUACGGGGGGCAGCAGUGGGGAAUCUUCCGCAAUGGGCGAAAGCCUGACGGAGCAACGCCGCGUGAUCGAAUGAAGGUCUUCGGAUCGUAAACCUCUGUCAGCAGGGAAGAACGGUCACUGUGCUAAUCAGCAGUGAAUUGACGGUACCUGCAAAGGAAGCACCGGCUAACUCCGUGCCAGCAGCCGCGGUAAUACGGAGGGUGCGAGCGUUAAUCGGAAUUACUGGGCGUAAAGCGCUCGUAGGCGGUAUGUCAAGUCAAGGGGUA
rnacentral:rRNA from 1 species